rnacentral:rRNA from 1 species
CUUGGUCAUUUAGAGGAAGUAAAAGUCGUAACAAGGUCUCCGUUGGUGAACCAGCGGAGGGAUCAUUACCGAGUUUACAACUCCCAAACCCCUGUGAACAUACCAAUUGUUGCCUCGGCGGAUCAGCCCGCUCCCGGUAAAACGGAACGGCCCGCCAGAGGACCCCUAAACCCUGUUUCUAUAUGUAACUUCUGAGUAAAACCAUAAAUAAAUCAAAACUUUCAACAACGGAUCUCUUGGUUCUGGCAUCGAUGAAGAACGCAGCAAAAUGCGAUAAGUAAUGCGAAUUGCAGAAUUCAGUGAAUCAUCGAAUCUUUGAACGCACAUUGCGCCCGCCAGUAUUCUGGCGGGCAUGCCUGUUCGAGCGUCAUUUCAACCCUCAAGCCCCCGGGUUUGGUGUUGGGGAUCGGCGAGCCUCACGGCAAGCCGGCCCCGAAAUACAGUGGCGGUCUCGCUGCAGCUUCCAUUGCGUAGUAGUAAAACCCUCGCAACUGGUACGCGGCGCGGCCAAGCCGUUAAACCCCCAACUUCUGAAUGUUGACCUCGGAUCAGGUAGGAAUACCAGAUGAACUUAAGCAUAUCAAUAAGCGGAGGA